CCUCGUCCUUCCAAUCGCUCUCGGCCCCGCCUCCCCCGCCCGCCCGCUCUCCGCCCACUUCAGCUGUUGCGGCGGAGUGGCAGUUCUGUGCCGCCUCGCUUUCGUGCUGAGGUCUUCUGCCACUCACUGUCCGACUUUGGGGUUUUCUUGCCUUUUUUCUCUCAGAGUUGAGCCCCUACCCGGGCCCUUUAGUCCCUCGGUCACGAGGAACGGUGGAGUUUAGAACCUGUGAGUACGUUAGAUAGUUCGCAGUCGAGUAAGAACAGAGUUCGGGCAAGGGCGGCUGGUCCGGGACCAAGGGAAAACACGCUGGCAUGGUGAUAAGGCGAUGGAACUUACCAGAGACCAAAUAGCUAGAGAAUGGCUGAACUGGGUUUUGAAUCUAGUAAAUCUUGACCCCAGAGCUCUCCAGCCUAAAGCACCCUUCUAUCAUAGAGGUCAUCAUCCACAUUCCACAGAUGAGAAAAGGAAGUUUGGAGAACGAGGCUCCAGGCUGCACACCUAUUGCUGAGGAGAGCUGAAAUUCCAACCAUGUUUCUCCAGCUCCAGAGUCUGUGCCUCUACCACUUGAUAUAAAAGACCAUGUGAUCACAUCACAAGCUACAAAUAACUCUAACUAAAUAAAAAGCAUGCUGAUCUGAACUCUGGAAGAGAACCUUUGUCAAUCAAUAUCUAGCGUUGUCCCAGGAAGAGAGAUUCAAUGUGUAGCAGACACUGGAAAGCCUACCUUAUAUAAGUGCAAGGGGAUCUGCGCUGACCCUGCCCCAUUUAUUCAAGGUCCUGGUACUUAAGGAAUACCUUUCAGAAGGAUGGAUGAAUAUGAAGAAACUAAGGAGCAAAGGAAUCAAAGAUUUCUUCCAGUCCACUCGGGAAGUUAGCUGCAUAGUUAGAAAUAGAACUCUAAACUCCUGGCCUGUUUUCCAAACCACAGAUAUGCUUGGUUUAUGCAGAAGGGAACCCUGACAUUAAUAAGAUUCUCAAGCGGAUCUGGAGAAGGGCAGAGGGAGAAAGAGGGAACGAGAGAAGGAGAAGAAACAAUCACUGAUCUAGUUUCAUGAACUUCAGUGCAGGUGAGAAGGAGAGGGCAGAGAAUUUGGGAAGGAGUGCAGGAAUCACAAGCCAGCUGCAUUCUUCACAAGAGAGUACGAAGUUGAUGGACUACCUCCAGCUGUGACAAAUGAGUUGUGUUUGUUACUUUGGCUUUCUCUUUGGGGUAUUACAAAUUCAUGAAUUUUUAUUUAAUUAGUGAGUUUCAAUAAAUUGCCAUCAUUAUUCUUUUUGAUGGUGAAAUUGUC